GUUGAUCAGGAGCAGGGAUAGAACUGAGCUGCUGUUACCAGGCAGACACUGGAUACUGUAGUUGCAGUCACUGGAGCUGUGGGAUUUCUCCUCGAGCACCACACACUGUAUGGUCACAAGUCCCUGCAGAGUCUGUUAGGGAGCAUCCAUUUACCUGCAAAUACAUGCUGUAAACUGGCCUACAUGAAAUGUGGAUAAUUAACUUGCCAUCACCUUGUUUUCUGUGAAUCCACAGCCACAUUAUCUACUUGGUAUGCUGAAGCUUUAGAGUGAUGUAUGUUCUUCCUUGUGCAG
rnacentral:lncRNA from 1 species